rnacentral:rRNA from 1 species
CCUACGGGUGGCAGCAGUGGGGAAUAUUGCACAAUGGGGGAAACCCUGAUGCAGCGACGCCGCGUGAGUGAAGAAGUAUUUCGGUAUGUAAAGCUCUAUCAGCAGGGAAGUAAUAUCGACCUUUGGGUCGCCAGACGGUACCUGACUAAGAAGCACCGGCUAACUACGUGCCAGCAGCCGCGGUAAUUCGUAGGGGGCAAGCGUUAUCCGGAUAUACUGGGUGUAAAGGGAGCGUAGACGGCAGCACAAGUCUGAAGUGAAAGGACGGGGCUUAAGCCCGGAGCUGCUCUGGUAACUGUGCAGCUAGAGUGCAGGAGAGGUAAGUGGAAUUCCUAGUGUAGCGGUGAAAUGCGUAGAUAUUAGGAGGAACACCAGUGGCGAAGGCGGCUUACUGGACUGUAACUGACGUUGAGGCUCGAAAGCGUGGGGAGCAAACAGGAUUAGAUACCCCGGUAGUC